rnacentral:rRNA from 1 species
UAGGGAAUCUUCGGCAAUGGACGGAAGUCUGACCGAGCAACGCCGCGUGAGUGAAGAAGGUUUUCGGAUCGUAAAGCUCUGUUGUAAGAGAAGAACGAGUGUGAGAGUGGAAAGUUCACACUGUGACGGUAUCUUACCAGAAAGGGACGGCUAACUACGUGCCAGCAGCCGCGGUAAUACGUAGGUCCCGAGCGUUGUCCGGAUUUAUUGGGCGUAAAGCGAGCGCAGGCGGUUAGAUAAAUCUGAAGUUAAAGGCUGUGGCUUAACCAUAGUAGGCUUUGGAAACUGUUUAACUUGAGUGCAAGAGGGGAGAGUGGAAUUCCAUGUGUAGCGGUGAAAUGCGUAGAUAUAUGGAGGAACACCGGUGGCGAAAGCGGCUCUCUGGCUUGUAACUGACGCUGAGGCUCGAAAGCGUGGGGAGCAAACAGGAUUAGAUACCCUGGUAGUCCACGCUGUAAACGAUGAGUGCUAGGUGUUAGACCCUUUCCGGGGUUUAGUGCCGUAGCUAACGCAUUAAGCACUCCGCCUGGGGAGUACGACCGCAAGGUUG